GCCUUCUUAGCUCAGUGGUAGAGCGCGUGGCUUUUAACCACAUGGUUGUUGGUUUGAUCCCGACAGACGGUG
rfam:Ipomoea nil DNA, scaffold: scaffold3322, cultivar: Tokyo-kokei standard.